AGUGAACGCUGGCGGCGUGCUUAACACAUGCAAGUCGAACGAGAACGGGUUAUAGCUUGCUAUAAUUGUCAGCUAAGUGGCGCACGGGUGAGUAAUGUAUAGGUAAUAUGCCUCUUACUAAGGGAUAACAAAUGGAAACGUUUGCUAAUACCUUAUACUCCUUAUUAACAUAAGUUAAUAAGGGAAAGAUUUAUUGGUAAGGGAUUAGCCUGUAUUGUAUCGGUUAGUUGUUGGGGAAUGGCUUACCAAGACUAUGACACAUAACUGGUUUGAGAGGAUGAUCAGUCACACUGGAACUGAGACACGGUCCAGACUCCUACGGGAGGCAGCAGUGGGGAAUAUUGCACAAUGGACGAAAGUCUGAUGCAGCAACGCCGCGUGGAGGAUGACACAUUUCGGUGCGUAAACUCCUUUUAUAUGAGAAGAUAAUGACGGUAUUAUAUGAAUAAGCACCGGCUAACUCCGUGCCAGCAGCCGCCGUAA
rnacentral:rRNA from 1 species